ACGAGGCCAGGUGCUAGGGCAGGUUACAACUGCACUGCUAGCCCCAGAGCAGAUAAUGAUUCCUCAGGUUAACCAGACCUGGAUUGUAGUAGAGCAAAUCCUACUGUGCUGCUGUAUUCCUGUGUCAUGGUUUGAGAUUGCCCCCCCUGGGAGCUGGGGGGCCUAGAGGUGACUGGGUGCCAGGGCAGUCUCCCCUAGAGGGCCAAUCACCACUUGUUUUGUUUGCUCCUGUGAAAAAUCAUAUAUACACAACCGGCGGAAGUUGUUGGCAAUCAUUCUGUCUGUCUGCUGCUGUGUGUGUGUGGGUGUGAGAGGACCAGGGGUGGUAGGGCCCCCUUCUUUCCCCUCUGGGGGGAAGGGGGGCCCUGUGGCCCUCAGCUCUGGUUAGGCCAGGGUUGGAGGCAGCAUUGGAGUGAGUGUGUUUGUUGUGAGGGAAUAAACUCACAAAUAGCUGGUAAGCAGGAGAGAGAGAGGCAGGCCUUGCAGCCAAGCCCUCUUUCCCCCGCCCUUUACAGUUAGACUGCAGAGGGGUCUUCUUUUUUCCCUUUCACUGUAAAGUGGAGGGGAGGCUUGGCGUUGGAGCCGAGCCAAAGUGGACGGGCUGAACAUAGCCCCGUGCCAGGGAGAUAACCCCAGGUGAAAUUGGAGAUGGACCAGAGAGAGGCCUGGAGGAUGUCCCUGCAGUAAUUUAAAUGAAGGACAGCCUAAAACUUGGAGGAGGAAUGAAGAUUCCAAGACGCAUACUGUGAUAAGCUGAACUAAACUACAGCAGCACGGAACCAAGGUAUGAGAGAAAAUGACACAGCAGAGACAGCACAGAACCAAGGAGAAAGGACUCAGAGCUAUCUUAUUGGACUUUGUGAGGAAGAAAAGACUUUAGCAAACAGCUGGAGGUUGAUGGGGGAGUGAACUCUUUUUCCCUGCUUUACCUAUCAGCCUGAAGAGCUUUUCCUGGACUAAAGUUAAAGGGAAAAAGAAAAAUAAGUCAUCUUUUAAGACUGAGACACUGAGAAAACAUUCAGAAAACAACCUGAUAUUUUCUUUUUUUCCCCUGACUUUUUGACUUUUCCUGUAUUUCCCAGUUAAAGAAAAAGAAAAAAGUUAAAGAAAGUUAAAGGUCUCAUUGCACCAUUUCCCUUCAUUUUUCUUAGAAAUAUACUUUUGAUGAAAUAACUUAAUGACUUUUGCUGCCUUUGGGAUAAAAUUUUAGGAUGCUCCCAUUUGCAGACCUGGCAUCUUAGUUACAGCUGCUCACUUCACCAACUGUGCUGUUUUGGGUCUGCUGUCAUUUAAAAUACAUCAGAGUUUCUUUUCAAUGUGUCUAGAUCUCAGAACACUUCUCUGUGGCCAAGUCUAGGCAAAUUUUUGGCUCAACUUCUCAUGCAAUCUUGAGUCCACAUUGACAUAUAAGCCACUCCUUGCACCUUGGUUUCCCAGAAAUUUUAUCUGUUUGCAGAGGAUGAAAUGGAACAUCAUGAUCACUGUGAAUACAACAGCUCUGAAGAGCUUCUUCAAAACACAUCUAGAGAUCAUGCUUCUUCAUCCUCUGUUUCAUCUUCUCAGAGGCAAAGCUUCUUGCUUCUUUAGGAAGGCCUCGUUUAGGAGUUCUGUGGUGGUUCUUCUGCCCUGCUAUUGCUACCACUUCAGGUCUUACGUCUAUUCUAGACUCAGGUUAAGGAAGUUGGAGAGCUUGACAAAGAAAAGUCUUCAAAAGACUUGAUGUGUUGAUUUAACUGUCAGUUAAAUACUGGUAAGAAAAGCUUGCUGUCCUGGGAAUGCCUGGGAGUCAGAGUCCAUGAAAAAACAUCAAAAUGAAAAGCACUGUCAUGACAACCACAGGAAUAGUAAAGGCAUACCUACAAAUAUAUAAUCUGUUCAAAAGACCUUGGCUCAACAGAAAUGUUCUUCUAUUUUCUUCACCGUAAAACUGAUAGAAAGCAAUGAGGAAGAUAUGGAAGGAUCUUGAGGUUUCAUACUUCCAUUGCAUGGACCAAAGCCCUAGUCUACGAGAUAUUUAAGCCUGCACUUUGACUAUGCAAAAGAUGUGGAUGACUUGCAUGACUGAAGAAGAAAACACCUGUGUAAACACAGGACUAAAACCACGGAGGACUGGGGUUGACAAAGUGGGGUUAAUGAGUCUCUAAGCACUGUAAUGAUUCAUAUAAUGAAGGCUGAUUUACUACCGCAUAAAUAUAUCCUAGAGUAAGACACUCAAAUUCUGCCUUUAUGAGUAUUGUCCUCUAGUUUUACUCUUUUCUUACUCUUCUAUGCCAUCAAUAUGUGAAGCUGGAAUACCAUCUCCGGUCAAAGGGCAGUACCCAUUCUUCUGGGUAAUUGGUAAGAUGAAUGUGUCUUCGAAAACUGUGUGCAUGAUUUCUUUUUCUGGAAUUGUUCCCAAGAGAUGUGUAAGAACAGACUUAAUGCCCCUUGAAAGUUGUACUGACACAGUUGCACAAAAAACAGAACAUUUAUCUCUCUCCCUUCAUCCUUGGUCCCUUUAAGAAUAAGAGGAAUCUCCUGAGGUGAAUGAGCUAAGACUAACAUUUGUAUCAACAAUUGUUUUGCAAGAUGUAUAUGUGAUCAAAUACAAUAACAAUUAAAUAGAUUAAACAAGUCCCUUUUUGCUAGGCAGCAUGCAAAACAAUUAAAAAAACCCCAAACAAAUUCACUUACCAUCUAAGCAGUUUCUGUGGUUUUAACCUAGGUUGGAUGAUGUUAUAUAGUACUGGUUGAUUCCACAGUAAAGUUUCUGUUUUUCAGGUCUCUACUUCUUGCUACUAUCAGCCUCAGGCUGUUCUUUGAAAAGUUUCGGAAAACAAUAAUUCAGUCAUUUUCCAGAGUUAAGUUGGCAGAAUAUAUUCUGUAGCGCACGUAGCAAACUUUUGUAUUUUAGCUGCAUUCAAUCAAAAUUUUCUUCUUAAGGUUUGACCUGACAUUUCAAAGUGACUGGAGGAGUAUCAUCUUUCUAGUACUAUGGGCUAUUUACUAUUUACUUGUGGAUCUAUUCUAAGCUAUGAAAAUGAACAUGCAGAACACAAAGAGACAUCAAAAUUUUUCAUCAUCACUUAGGCUACUGAGAAAAAAUAAGUGGUUCAAAACCUGCUGGUCAUAGGAGUAGAAGAGUGGGGAUUACACAUUUACGAUGGAGAGUCUCAAGCAGAGGUAGUGGAAGCCAGGGUGCCAUGUUAUGUCUACUCAGAACCUCCUAUAGCCACCUCCUGGGGAUGGAUGUUGUAAGGGAUUCCUCUGUACAUCAAGGAUAACCAAACAGUAGAGAGGUUGUAAUGUUUUAGUUCCACAAGAGGUAAACAUUUGUCUCCAAUGUAACUCUCUCUUAUUCACAACAGCUUUUCAAGGUGUUGUCUCUUGGGGAAAAGAUUGGUACCUCUACUGUGGUUGAAACUGGUGCUUGAGCUCUUCAUCAUGUUCUGAUAAAAUUGCUAAUGACUAAACUAAUCAGAAAUUAUGCCUGUGACAUAAAGGCUGUAUUCUUCCUCUAAAUACCUCACUGGCUGGCUGGUAACGACUAGGACUUGGUUAUCCAACCACUAUAUUUGGAGUAAAAUCUGUAGAAACUUCUGAAUUCAAGGUGUUGAUUAUGUGUUAAUUAGCUGGGUGAGGUCACUAAAGGUCACUCGAAUGUGCAACUAGUUUGUUGAGAUUCCAGUUUUGUUAGUAUGGUAAGUAUCCCCUAGAAUUUUAUAGUUUUGAAAUACUACAAUGCUCUUCCAAGAAGUCAUUUUAUUGAUGAUAUUAUUCCUUGACUGUGUUACACCCUUACUUAUAACUCAUUCUUUCCAAAAGUUUUGGUUAAGGUAAGAGGUUACCAUAAUGUUUGACUUGCUUCAUGUUAAUUUGCACAUGCGUUAAACAGAAGUUUGAUCAAUUGGUAUGUUGUCCUUGUUUUGCUUCUGUUUAAAAAUGCAGUAAGCUAAUUGAAGUGCUAAAUAAAUAUUAUUUAUACGACUACUCAUAAUGUUCCAGCUUUAGCCUGGUUUUCAUUUGAGGUGCUGUGCAAAUUACUGUGGUCAUAUGUGGGGUAUCUUGCACUUAUGACUAAUGAGAAAGAGAAUGAAGGGGGAAAGAUGAUGUGGCAAUUGGCAGAGAAAUUGUACCCUAGGUUAACUGUAAACUUGAAGCCUGUUGAGGGAGAACUUCUUUGACUUUAAUUUACAGGAGUUACAGCUGAAAAGUCAUGGUUUUACUCUGAAGUCUGAUAUUUGAAAAAAAUAAGUGAAAAGAUAUCCUUCUGCUGGUAAUGCACAACCAACGGAUCAGGCUACAAUGGCAUCAACAUUCUUUUUGCUUGCUUUGGAGUGAACAACUAUGACUCUUGCUUGAUGUUAUUUCAGAUCUACAUGGAUAGAAGUGAUUUGGAGGAAGGUUCCUUCUUGCUGACAUAGGCUAUGAUGCUUUCCUAAGUUUGGCAAAACAAAUCUAACAACAGUCCUUGCUGCCCUUUGCUGCACUUAUUUUAAUGUGGAUUUUGCUCUCAGAGAUGCUGUUUUGUGUGACUGAAAUUUUUUGGCUUGAACUGGAAAACAAUCAGGAUCUAAAAAAAAUCAGGAUUAGUUAGAGGAAAAACCAGAGGUGUCUGAAACAAGCAAGAGUCUCAAAUUAUGACUUAUUCAUAAGUAGAAUAAAUGCUUUCUUACUGUUCUUGUGUAAAACUGAACAUAAAAG